UACGUAGGGGGCAAGCGUUGUCCGGAUUUAUUGGGCGUAAAGAGCGUGUAGGCGGCCAGACAGGUCCGUUGUGAAAACUCGAGGCUCAACCUCGAGACGCCGAUGGAAACCGUCUGGCUAGAGUCCGGAAGAGGAGAGUGGAAUUCCCGGUGUAGCGGUGAAAUGCGCAGAUAUCGGGAAGAACACCCGUGGCUAAGGCGGCUCUCUAGUACGGUACUGACGCUGAGACGCGAAAGCCAGGGGAGCAAACGGG
rnacentral:rRNA from 1 species